rnacentral:misc_RNA from 1 species
CUGAAAUGCCUUUCCCCUCCUUCCAAAUAGAAUUGUAUGAAGCAGCCUGAAGAUGUCAUCAGUCUUUUUCCUUGAUAAUUUGAAUGCCACAUUGGGUAUAUCUUUAAGUGGAGUACCACGGCCCUUUUCGAUAUGGAAUUCCUUCACAGCAUAUCUUUCUAUAGAUGCCACCAACCUUUCAACUGAUUUUCGCUCGCGUACAGGGCGAUCAAUAAUGGGAGUCCUUAUCUCUGGCUCCUCCUUUUCAUCCUCUUCAUUGUUUCCUUUUGAUUUAACCACACCCUUUCUCUUUCUUCCUUUCUUUGUUUUUUCUUCGCUGGGAUCUUUAUCCUUCAACUCCUUGUUAUCCUCUUCCAUAUGGCUGUCAACCUUCUCUACCUCAUCUUUGGCAUCCUCAGUUUCAUCUUUGGCAUCCACAAUUUCUUCAUCUUUGGCAUCCUCAAUUUCUCCAUCUUUGGCAUCCUCAAUUUCUCCAUCUUUGGCAUCCUCAAUUUCUC